GACGAACGCUGGCUGCGUGCUUAACACAUGCAAGUCGAACGCUGAAGCCUGGUGCUUGCACCGGGUGGAUGAGUGGCGAACGGGUGAGUAACACGUGAGUAACCUGCCCCUGACUUCGGGAUAAGCCCGGGAAACUGGGUCUAAUACCGGAUACGACUGCCGGACGCAUGUCUGGUGGUAGAAAGUUUUUUCGGUUGGGGAUGGGCUCGCGGCCUAUCAGUUUGUUGGUGAGGUAAUGGCUCACCAAGACGACGACGGGUAGCCGGCCUGAGAGGGCGACCGGCCACACUGGGACUGAGACACGGCCCAGACUCCUACGGGAGGCAGCAGUGGGGAAUAUUGCACAAUGGGGGAAACCCUGAUGCAGCGACGCAGCGUGCGGGAUGACGGCCUUCGGGUUGUAAACCGCUUUCAGCAGGGAAGAAGCGCAAGUGACGGUACCUGCAGAAGAAGUACCGGCUAACUACGUGCCAGCAGCCGCAGUAAGAC
rnacentral:rRNA from 1 species